AUAUGGAGGGUGCAAGCGUUGUUCGGAAUUAUUGGGCGUAAAGAGCAUGUAGGCGGUCUGUUAAGUCUGGUGUGAAAGCCCGGGGCUCAACCCCGGAAGUGCAUUGGAUACUGGCAGACUUGAGUAUGGGAGAGGAAAGCGGAAUUCCGAGUGUAGGAGUGAAAUCCGUAGAUAUUCGGAGGAACACCAGUGGCGAAGGCGGCUUUCUGGACCAAUACUGACGCUGAGAUGCGAAAGCGUGGGGAGCGAACAGGAUUAGAAACCCUAGUAGUCC
rnacentral:rRNA from 1 species